UGGGGGAUAUUGCACAAUGGGCGAAAGCCUGAUGCAGCGACGCCGCGUGGGGGAUGAAGGCCUUCGGGUUGUAAACUUCUUUUGCUCUGAACAAGGCAUGCCUUUGGGGUGUGUUGAGUGUAGGGGUUGAUUAGCGCCGGCUAACUACGUGCCAGCAGCCGCGGUAAUACGUAGGGCGCGAGCGUUGUCCGGAAUUAUUGGGCGUAAAGGGCUUGUAGGUGGCUGGUUGCGUCUGUCGUGAAAGCUCAUGGCUUAACUGUGGGUUUGCGGUGGGUACGGGCUGGCUUGAGUGCAGUAGGGGAGGCUGGAAUUCCUGGUGUAGCGGUGGAAUGCGCAGAUAUCAGGAGGAAUACCGGUGGCGAAGGCGGCUCUCUGGGCUGUUACUGACGAUGAGGAGCGAAAGCGUGGGGAGCGAACAGG
rnacentral:rRNA from 1 species